rnacentral:rRNA from 1 species
CACGGGGGGAGCAAGCGUUGUUCGGAAUCACUGGGCGUAAAGGGCGUGUAGGCGGUUCGGUAAGUGGAAUGUGAAAUCCCUCGGCUCACCCGAGGACCUGCAUCCCAAACUGCCGGACUAGAGUAUGGGAGAGGAUGAGGGAAUUCCUGGUGUAGCGGUGAAAUGCGUAGAUAUCAGGAGGAACACCGGUGGCGAAAGCGCUCAUCUAGCCCAAUACUGACGCUGAGGCGCGAAAGCUAGGGGAGCAAACGGG